CCCUGCCCUUUGUACACACCGCCCGUCGCUACUACCGAUUGGCAGGCUUUUUGAGGCGUUCGGAGAGCCUAUAAGGAGCUGGCAACAGCACCUUACUGGUUCAAAGUUCUACGAAAAUGGUCUGCUAGAGG
rnacentral:rRNA from 1 species